GAUGAGAGGAGAGAGUGUGGAGAGCCACACGCGCGCGCGCGCUCGCUCGCCUCGCCGGGCCGGGGCGGGGCGGGGCGGGCGGGGCGGGGCGAAGGGCGCGGGCGCACGACAUGCGCGUGAAUGGUCCGCCGAAAUCCGGCCCCUCGCCUUGCGGGGGCGCGGCUACCUUUUGCCGUUUGAUUUUUUGGUUUCUUGGCUGUUACGCUUAUCCUAACCGAUCGCUAUAAAAUUUCAACUGAUUGCGAGAUUUUCGUGGGCGGAUAAGCACGGGGGUCGCGGACUCGGCCCUAUAAAAGGAGCCCGGCAGCCAGCCUCCAAAUCAUCCCAGAUCCCAGUUCGCUUUCGCCUCUCUUCAUAGCUGAGCCGCUUUUUAGUUCCCUUCGUCCCGACCGCAGAGGUGCAUCUGCGAUCAGGAGAGCAGGUCUCCGGAACCCUUCGUCUUCUAGAUCCUGCACCGGGAGAGGGCGAAUAAGGUUUUUGGGAAGCGUCUUCACGCGACUGCUCGUGAUCUUCUGACCUCGUCGACCCUGUUGAUUCGCUACUUCGACAUCGUCAACCCUGCUGAUUCCGGCGCGCGCCAACAAUCAGUAAGUCUAAUCAGUACGCAUCAUCUGAUUUGGCUUUUAUUUCAGUUCUUCUGAUUUGGUCAUGAUUUAUAUUCGGAAUUUAAUUUGGAAUUUGUCUAAUUAUUCAACAGUACUCACAGCAUUCACUGCAAGGAUAGGACGACAGGAUCAGAAUACAUCAUAUGGAGGGCUGAUACAUAUGUAGACUUGCCAGAUCUUUCUGCACAUCUUACUACGUUUUAUGCAUGGUAACAGCUAGUUUCAAAGAAGAACACCAGCAAAGUAUCAUGCUAUAUUUUGCUCUUUUAUUAGUUUAUAGUCAUUUUUGUAUGCAUAUUUGAUUUUUGUACCAUAUUUUCCUUUUUACUGUGUAGUGGUAACCAUCAACAGAAACUGAUGGUUGAGCUACGACUUAUGUAAGAAGUAAGAUGUUUUGUGUAACCCUUUAUGUUUAGUAAUUUCAUCUCAACAGCCUCCUGCCAUAUAUACUUCACAUCAGUUUUAGUUUCCUGAAACAAUAACUUAUAACAAGCUAGUUGACAUUUUCAUGGAGGCAAA
rnacentral:lncRNA from 1 species